rnacentral:lncRNA from 1 species
UUCUCUUAUCUUUUUCACCUCAAAGGAAAAGAAAAAAAGAAACAAAGCUCAAAGCUAGUAGUUCCAAGAUUGUGAGCAUAUAUACUUCUUCUUAACAAGAAGAAGAAGAAGAAAUAACAAGAAACAAAGAGCGAGAGAAAGUUUGUAGGAGAGGGGGUGGUGGUGUUAGCAGGAGAGGGGGUAUAUAGAAAGAAAGUGAAUUUUCAGUUCUCAAAAUAGGUUACGG